rnacentral:rRNA from 1 species
GAACGAGAUCUUAACCUGCUAAUUAGCGGCGAAUACGUCAUAUUCUUAUGCGAAAUUGAAUAUAGAUGAAUUUGCUUAUUUUGAAGAAUACACUAGGAUACAAUUAAUGUGUCCUUUUCCCUAUUCUUCUUAAUUCGCAAUUCAUGCUGUUUCUCUUUUGCAUUAGAAUGUAUUCGUUUGAUUGUAAAGCUUCUUAGAGGAACGAUGUGUGUCUAACACAAGGAAGUUUAAGGCAACAACAGGUCUGUGAUGUCCUUAGAUGAACUAGGCUGCACGCGUGCUACACUGAUAUGUAUAACGAGUUACUAAAAAUAUACUUUUGUUAGGGUAUUUUAUAUACUCUUUCAAAUUGUAUAGUUUUCCUCCACUGAAAAGUGUAGGUAAUCUUUAUCAGUA